AUGGAUUAUCUUUGCAAGAGUAGAAGAUGUGCGGAAGCUAGGACGAUUUUUGAUUCUAUGGCCGGAAAGGACCAAAAACCGAACGUUACUAGCUACAGUAUUCUGCUUCAUGCGUAUGCUAUGGAACAGUCAUUUCAUGAUAUGCAUUGUCUCAUUGAAUUGAUGGUAGAAAAUGGUGUUGCACCAAAUCAUUCUGUGUACAACAUACUGAUAGACGCAUAUGCUAAGGGGAAAAUGGUUGAUGAUGUAAUGCACAUAUUUACAAAAAUGCGGCAGCAAGGAUUGAACCCAAAUGCUGUGAACUAUGGAACAGUAAUAAACUUACUCUGCAGUAUUGGCCGAAUGGAUGAUGCUAUGUUGCAAUUCAAUCAAAUGAUAACUGAAGAAUUAGUUCCUGAUAUCAUAGUUUUCAACACUCUUAUAAGUGGUUUUUUUUCUUGUGGAAAAUGGGAGAAGGUUCAUGAACUACUUGCUGAAAUGUUGAAUCGUGGCAUCUAUCCCGACAACGUGUUCUUCAACACAAUUAUGGAUCACCUUUGCAAAAAUGGAAGGGUUAUGGAAUCCCAAGAUCUCGCUGACCUGAUGAUACACAUGGGUUUGAAGCCUGACGUGCAUACUUAUAACACACUGAUGGGUGGAUACUUUUUCAUUGGUAAGAUGGAUGAAGUGAGGAAGUUACUUGACCAUAUGGUCUCAAUUGGCAUGGAACCGGAUGUUGUCACCUAUAACACACUGAUUGAUGGUUACUUUAAGAAUGGAAUGAUAGAUGAUGCGUUAGCUGUUUUCAGUGAAAUGUUGGACAAGAAAGUUAAGCCUUGCGUUAUCACUUAUAACACAGUGCUGCAUGGGUUAUUUCAUACUGGAAGGACUGUUGCUGCAAAUGAACUCUAUCUCAGGAUGAUUGACAGCGGAAUAUGUGUGGACAUUGUGACCUACAACAUAAUUCUCAGUGGUCUGUGUAGAAAUAACUGUAUGGAUGAAGCACUAAGAAUGUUUCAAAACCUGUGUUCAAGAAAUUAUCAACUUGAGAUCAGGACUUAUAAUAUUAUGAUUAGUGCAUUGCUUAAAGUUGGCAGGAAGGAAGAAGCCACAGGUUUGUUGGAUGGAAUCUCGGCCAAAGGAUUUGUGCCCGAUGCUGUUACGUAUAGAUUAAUGAUACAAAGCUUUUAG
rnacentral:rRNA from 1 species